CUGAGGGAAUCCAUCGACGAGGAAUACAGAGGAGAGGAGCGACCGCGUCCAUCAGUGCGCCGCCGGCCGACGGGACGAAGCUCCUGGCCACGCUGCCCUUUCCCAGAUGCCCCGGUCCAGCGCCGCCUUCUUCUCGAGUGCGGCUGCGAUCUCGACGUGGUCCAGUGACGCCGCCCCUCUGCCACCAGCAAUAUCUCCGCCUCCAUCUGCCUCUGCCGCCGCCAGCACCAGAUUUUGUUGCUCUUUUGAAGAGUCGAUCAAGCCACUUCUCGCUGCAUACUCCAAUGUAAUUUUGUCCUGGACCGGAACUGAAGCAAACAAAUCAACUUCCGCAAAGAAGAUGCACUUAUGAUAAAAGAGCUUUGAUCAGCAUAUUUCAAAAGCAAAAAAAGGAAUGGCAACCUUCUGCAUACGUCCAUGUUUUGAAGUUAUUUAGUUUUCCAUUAAUAAAUAUAUCACCUCCGUGCAAGCGCUACUGCAUGAUCAGAUGAUCAAGAACUUCUUCGCCAGUUAACGUGUCUCGGUACUAUGUAUUGCAAAAACUAUUCAUCUUUUGUGCACUGAAUAUGGUUAUCGUACCUCUAAAUAA